rnacentral:lncRNA from 10 species
AAAUGGCACAGAAAUGGUGUCAAGAAACCACAAUUACGAAGAUAUGAAUCUCUUAAUGGGGCGUAACAUGCACUUUGUCAGGAAGCACAACAAGAAGAGCCUGGAGAAGAUGUAGGCCAACAAUGCAAGGCCAUCACUGCACAUGCCAAGGCUGUCAAGGCCCUCAUAAAGCUCAAGGAGUUUAAGCCCAAGAUGUCAAAGGGCAUCAGUCCGAAGCUUGAUGGACUUGCCUACACUGCCCAUCCCAAGCUUGGGAGUAUAUUUGUGUCUACAUUGCUAAGUGGAUCUACUGGCCAGAGGCCAAGGCCAAGGAUCAAACCAAGGCCCAGGCUGUGCCUUUAGCUUCAGCUGCAGCUGCAGUUCCAGCUCAGGCUCCCAAAGGUGUCCAGGCCCCCAUAAAG